rnacentral:lncRNA from 10 species
GGGAGGAUUGCUUGAGUCCAGGAGUUUGAGCCUGCAGUGAGCCAUGAUUGUACCACUGCACUCCAGCCUGGGCAACAGAGUAAGACCCUGUCUCGAAACAAAACGAAAAAAAACCAACUAUGGGUUUGGGUUUCAGACCAGCCUGAAGCUAAGCCUGCUCACGGUGCUCUCGGGACAUUUGCCUUCAUCUCGCUGCAUCUAGAGCAAACAGGAAGGUGUUAGGAGAGGCAGGAAGGCGGGGUUUCCAUCAGCAUCAGGCAGGAGGGGACAAAGGAGUUUUUCAUGCCUGGCAGAAUCCUCACUCUAAGAUGGUAGGAAUGUACAGUUACAGCUAUAUAUCCCUUUGGGAAACUUUUUGGGAAGUAGGAAGAUCUACCUCCAUCUGACUGUGGUAUUUUCUGCUUUAUGAAAAGCAGAGAUAUGUGCUUUUCAUGUAGCUUUAUGAAUGUAAUCUUCUAUCCUGUGACAGAAAAAGAAAGAGAAAGGAAGAAAGAGGGAGAAAGAAGGAAGGAAAGAAAGAAGAAAAUGAAGGAAAGAAAGAAGAAAAGGAAGGAAUGAAGAAAGGAAGGAAGAAGGAAGAAGGGAGGGAAGGAGGGAGGAAGGAAUGUAGGAAGGAAGGAAGGGAGGAGAACUUGAUAUUUGAUAACUGUGUUUGUGAGCAUCUUUCUGGUCAUCCUAUCAUCUUCUCAUUUUGACAGGCACAUGUCAAACUUCAGUGCUGCCUGAUCUCUUUCCCUUCACUGAGACUUGAUUUUAUCUGGUGACAGUUUUCCUUUUAACCAGUUAUCAGGAGUAGGCGGCUUGUAUUCCCUUUCCCCUUUAAAAUUCAUACCUUUAAACUUCAUAGUCACACAUGUUGCUACAUAACAUAUUACCACAGACUUAGCCACUUAAAACAACCCUCCUUUAUGAGCUCACAGGGAUGUGGUCCACAGGCUAGGAGAGGGCUGGGUCCUUAGGGUCUCACAGGGUCAAAAUGGAGGCAGAUGCUGGAUGGCGCGCUUAUCUGGACGUCCUUGAGAAGAAGAAUCAGCUUUCGACCUCCUUCAGGCUGUUGACAGAAUUCAGAUCCUGUGGCUGGUGAGGACGGAGGACCCCUUCCUUGCUGGCUGUCAGGGGAAGACAUGCUGACCCUUCUGGUGGCACCUUUCAGGGUGCAGAGGAUUGCUGUGGUGCUAGCUUUGAUGGAUUGUUUGCAAAAGUGGCUGCAAUUAUUCAGCUCCCUCUGCAGUGGUGGAGUCUGUGUCCACUCCGCUUGACUCUCAGCUGAUCCUGUGGCCUGCUUAGACCAAGAGACUGCAAAAGAAGUGACUGUCUGUGCUGAGCCCUCAUCUCUAGAGACAAUGCACGCUUCCACCUGCCCCUUUCAAACUCUGCUGAGCUGCCUUGUGAACAAACAGCCCAGGCUCCUCAUCCAGCCCAAUCCAGAGGCAGAGCAGAUGGCAGUUGCUUGAGGGAAGGCAUCUGAGGUCAGCAGAACUAGAGAUUCACCAGAAGGAACUUAUGGCUGUUAUUUUAAGACACUAAGUUUUGGGUUGCUUUGCUAAUAUGCUCAUAGUUCCAUUUCUCUUCGGAGACAGGUCAAACGGAUAAGUCCCACCCUGUUCUUGGGAGCAACAUUAAACAGUAGUCUGGGACAAAGGUUUCUCACAGAAACUUCACGAGCAUGAUAGACUCCAUAUGUUUCAAUAACAGGCAAAGUAUCUUUCUGUGAAAGUCACACUCAGAUUUUGUGUAAUUUACUGAAGAACUCCAGUUAAAAGCCACAAUAUUUUAUUUCCAUCUUUUUCCUAAGAGUGGAAAAAAACCAUUAAAUGUGUGAUACAUUUUAGGGGCUUCAGACUUAAAGGAGAAUUUAAUUGAGGGUCUUCAGGACCUCUGAUCUUUCAAAAUCCUCUAGUGGUGCCAUUCACACAGCAUUGGCCAAAUUUUGGGGGUCGUGUCUGAAAUGUUUGGAUAACAAAAAAGUCUUUUUAGGUUAAAAAUUAUUUUACUUGAUUUCUUUUCUUAAGUAAUAUUUACAGGGUACUUUAUCUUUUUUACUUUAUCUCUUACAGAACAUUUAAACCUUAUAACUUUAAGAUGUAGGUAUUAUCCCCCAAACCCUCCCCCACAAAACACACAUGAUACAUGAAAAAAACUGAGGCUCAGAGAGAUGAAGUCACUUCCCAUAAUGGAAGAGGCAGGGCAUGUUCUUAUUACCAUCUGACACCAAAACUCAUCCUUUUUCCGCAUGUUAGUAAAUGAUCAGAGGUUUGGCAUCAGAUAGUAUAUUUCCUUUAAGGCCUUCAAAAUGUUAAUCAUUUCUCUUCUUGCACAUUUUUUUUUUUAGAGACGGAAUUUCGUUCUUGUUGCCCAGGCUGGAGUGCAAUGGUGCGAUCUCAGCUCACUGCAACCUCUGCCUCCCUGGUUCAAGUGAUUCUCCUGCUUCAGCCUCCUGAGUAGCUGGGAUUACAGGCACGCGCCACCACACCUGGCUAAUUUUGUGUUUUUAGUAGAGAUGGGGUUUUACCAUGCUGUCCAGGCUAGUCUCGAACUCCUGACCUCAGGUGAUCCACCCGCCUUGGCCUCCCAAAGUGCUGGGAUUACAGGCAUGAGCCUUCAUACCCGGUCAAACAUCUGUCUUUAAUUUAGAAAAUACGGAGUAAAGAAAUCAUUAACUUAUAAGUAUAAGCCAUUUAAUUUUUUAAAAAGGUCAAGUCCAGUUGAUCACACCUGUAAUCCCAGCACUUUGGGAGGUGGAGGCAGGUGGAUCACUUGAGACCAGGAGUUCGAGAGCAGCUUGGGCAACAUGGCGAAACCCUGUCUCUACAAAAAAUACAAAAAUUAGCCCCAUGUGGUGACGCAUGCCUGCAGUCCCAGCUAUUCAGGAGGCUGAGGUAGGAGGACAGCUUGAGCCUGGGAGGCAGAGGUUGCAGUGAGCCAUGAUAGUGCCACUAUGCUCCAGCCUGGGCAACAGAGCCAGACCAUGCCUCCAAAAAACACAAACACAUACACACACACACACACACACACACACACACACACACAACCCCACAAAAAAUCCCAUAAGUUCUCUCCAGUCUUACUUGUAUGCUCAGCUUUCAAAUGUUUAUAAUGUACCACUAACGUUACUAGUGCAUGGCGUUCACCCUUCCUGUCAACAUUUUAUUAUGAAUAUUUUAAAAGUCCAGAAAAAUCAAAAGUUUUUUCUUUUCUUUGACAGAGUCUUGCUCUGUCACCCAGUCUGGAG